rnacentral:lncRNA from 1 species
CGAGAUACCUCUCCGUCAUACGGAGUGACAAAUCCCAGUCUUGAUCCAUAGUAACUCAACGAACACCUUCGGAGAUACCUGUAGAGCAUCUUUAUAGUCACCCAGUUACGCUGCGACGUUUGAUACACACAAAGCAUUCCUCCGGUGUCAGUGAGUUAUAUGAUCUCAUGGUCAUAGGAACAAAUACUUGACACGCAGAAAACAGUAGCAACAAAAUGACACGAUCAACAUGCU